rnacentral:rRNA from 1 species
UACGUAGGGUGCAAGCGUUGUCCGGAAUUAUCGGGCGUAAAGAGCUCGUAGGCGGUUUGUCGCGUCUGCUGUGAAAACGCGAGGCUCAACCUCGCGCCUGCAGUGGGUACGGGCAGACUAGAGUGCGGUAGGGGAGAUUGGAAUUCCUGGUGUAGCGGUGGAAUGCGCAGAUAUCAGGAGGAACACCGAUGGCGAAGGCAGAUCUCUGGGCCGUAACUGACGCUGAGGAGCGAAAGCGUGGGGAGCGAACAGG